CACCCGAUCGUCUCUAAGUGU
rnacentral:miRNA from 1 species